AUUGAACGCUGGCGGCAGGCCUAACACAUGCAAGUCGAGCGGAUGAAGGGAGCUUGCUCCUGGAUUCAGCGGCGGACGGGUGAGUAAUGCCUAGGAAUCUGCCUGGUAGUGGGGGAUAACGUCCGGACACGGGCGCUAAUACCGCAUACGUCCUGAGGGAGAAAGUGGGGGAUCUUCGGACCUCACGCUAUCAGAUGAGCCUAGGUCGGAUUAGCUAGUUGGGGGGGUAAAGGCCUACCAAGGCGACGAUCCGUAACUGGUCUGAGAGGAUGACCAGUCAAAUUGGAACUGAGACACGGUCCAGACCCUAAGGGGGGGAAGCAGGGGGAAUAUUGGACAAUGGGCGCAAGCCUUAUCCAGCCCUACCGCGUGGGUGAAAAAGGUUUUCGGGUUGUAAAGCCCUUUUAUUGGGGAAGAAAAGCAGGAAGUUAAAACCCUGCUGUUUUGACGGUACCCAAAGAAAAAACCCCGGCUAAAUUCGUG
rnacentral:rRNA from 1 species